rnacentral:lncRNA from 1 species
AUUUUUUAGUUUGAAAAGAUUAAGAUUUAAAUAACUUGACUCAUUAAUUUAUUUUCAACUUUUAAAAUAGUUUAAUAUUUUUAACAAUACUUACUUUUUUUUUUUAAUUUUAUCAUUCAAUAUAUUUAUACUAUACUAUUUAAUGUAUUACAAAGCAAUACUAUUUAAUUUAUUACAAAUAAAAAAAAGUUACUCACUUAUAUUUUUAUUUAUUAUAUAUCCAUAUAUCAUUUUGAUUUCC